rfam:Canis lupus familiaris chromosome 31, whole genome shotgun sequence.
UAGGGGAGCCAGGGUUCAGCACCCCUCCCCGAGCCCAGGGUAACUCUCAGAGUAGAGGGGCA